AAACAGCCUGUGGUGUUCUGUGUGACC
rnacentral:piRNA from 1 species